GAUGAACGCUGGCGGCGUGCCUAAUACAUGCAAGUCGAACGGAAAGGCCUCUUCGGAGGUACUCGAGUGGCGGACGGCUGAGUAACGCGUAGGAAUGUACCCCAAAGUGAGGAAUAACCUCGAGAAAUCGAGGCUAAUACCGCAUGUGCUCUAAGGAGUAAAGCUUCGGCGCUUUGGGAACAGCCUGCGUAAGAUUAGCUUGUUGGUGAGGUAAUGGCUCACCAAGGCGACGAUCUUUAGCUGGUCUGAGAGGAUGAUCAGCCAGACUGGGACUGAGACACGGCCCAGACUCCUACGGGAGGCAGCAGUAGGGAAUUUUCCACAAUGGACGAAAGUCUGAUGGAGCAACGCCGCGUGCAGGAUGAAGGCCCUUGGGUUGUAAACUGCUUUUAUAUGUGAAGAUAAUGACGGUAGCAUAUGAAUAAGGAUCGGCUAACUCCGUGCCAGCAGCCGCGGUAA
rnacentral:rRNA from 1 species